rnacentral:rRNA from 1 species
UACGGGGGGGGUAAGCGUUGUUCGGAAUUACUGGGCGUAAAGGGUCUGUAGGUGGCUUGCUAAGUCAGACGUGAAAUCCCUCAGCUUAACUGGGGAACUGCGUCUGAGACUGGCGAGCUUGAGUGCAGGAGAGGAACGCGGAAUUCCAGGUGUAGCGGUGAGAUGCGUAGAUAUCUGGAGGAACACCGGUGGCGAAGGCGGCGUUCUGGACUGCAACUGACACUGAGAGACGAAAGCCAGGGGAGCAAACGGG